CGGUGCGAUCAUACCAGCACUAAUGCACCGGAUCCCAUCAGAACUCCGAAGUUAAACGCGCUUGGGCGAGAGUAGUACUACGAUGGGUGACCUCUUGGGAAGUCCUCGUGUUGCACCCC
rnacentral:rRNA from 1 species